CCGGCGACCGGCGCACGGGUGAGUAACACGUAUGCAACCUGGCCGUGACAGAUGGAUAACCGGGAGAAAUCCCGCCUAAUACAGCAUGACGCCGGGAAGGGGCAUCCCUUUCCGGCCAAAGGGGGCGACUCCGGUCACGGAUGGGCAUGCGGCGCAUUAGGUAGUUGGUGGGGCAACGGCCCACCAAGCCGACGAUGCGUAGGGGUUCUGAGAGGAAGGUCCCCCACAUUGGAACUGAGACACGGUCCAAACUCCUACGGGAGGCAGCAG
rnacentral:rRNA from 1 species